rnacentral:rRNA from 1 species
UACAGAGGGUGCAAGCGUUGUUCGGAAUUAUUGGGCGUAAAGCGCGCGUAGGCGGCUUUGCAAGUCGGGUGUGAAAGCCCUCAGCUCAACUGAGGAAGUGCGCCCGAAACUGCAGAGCUUGAGUGCCGGAGAGGGUGGCGGAAUUCCCCAAGUAGAGGUGAAAUUCGUAGAUAUGGGGAGGAACACCGGUGGCGAAGGCGACUACCUGGCCUGUUUCUUGACGCUGAGGCGCGAAAGCUAGGGGAGCAAACGGG